AGUUCUUUAACCAGAUACUCCACGCCUUCUGGUUGAGAUGAUGCCUCCUUCUCCGGUGACCCCUUCUUCCUAUAAGCAGACCGGAUUCUUUCAACAGAACUUUCAACCUUAGAAGGGCUUCUCUGAAGACGAGUGUCUACAGGGCGGGGUGCCCUUAGUUGACUCUCUGGAGUAUGUCCUCUGGAUAUACUUCGCCUCUGAACCCGGG
rnacentral:lncRNA from 1 species